GAUGAACGCUAGCGGCAGGCCUAACACAUGCAAGUCGAACGGUAACAUGAGAGCUUGCUCUUGAUGACGAGUGGCGCACGGGUGCGUAACGCGUAUGCAACCUACCCUAUACAGGGGGAUAGCCCGGAGAAAUUCGGAUUAAUACCCCAUAAUAUUUUCGAUUCACCUGGAUUGAUUAUUAAAGCUUCGGCGGUAUAGGAUGGGCAUGCGUCCCAUUAGCUAGUUGGUGAGGUAAUGGCUCACCAAGGCUACGAUGGGUAGGGGUUCUGAGAGGAUUAUCCCCCACACUGGUACUGAGACACGGACCAGACUCCUACGGGAGGCAGCAGUGAGGAAUAUUGGGCAAUGGACGAGAGUCUGACCCAGCCAUGCCGCGUGCAGGAUGACGGCCCUAUGGGUUGUAAACUGCUUUUAUACAGGAAUAAACCUAUCUACGUGUAGAUAGCUGAAUGUACUGUACGAAUAAGGAUCGGCUAACUCCG
rnacentral:rRNA from 1 species